GCGACUUAUAUUCUGUAGCAAGGUUAACCGUAUAGGGGAGCCGUAGGGAAACCGAGUCUUAACCGGGCGUUAAGUUGCAGGGUAUAGACCCGAAACCCGGUGAUCUAGCCAUGGGCAGGUUGAAGGUUGGGUAACACUAACUGGAGGACCGAACCGACUAAUGUUGAAAAAUUAGCGGAUGACCUGUGGCUGGGGGUGAAAGGCCAAUCAAACCGGGAGAUAGCUGGUUCUCCCCGAAAGCUAUUUAGGUAGCGCCUCGUGAAUUCAUCUCCGGGGGUAGAGCACUGUUUCGGCUAGGGGGCCAUCCCGGCUUACCAACCCGAUGCAAACUGCGAAUACCGGAGAAUGUUAUCACGGGAGACACACGGCGGGUGCUAACGUCCGUCGUGAAGAGGGAAACAACCCAGACCGCCAGCUAAGGUCCCAAAGUCAUGGUUAAGUGGGAAACGAUGUGGGAAGGCCCAGACAGCCAGGAUGUUGGCUUAGAAGCAGCCAUCAUUUAAAGAAAGCGUAAUAGCUCACUGGUCGAGUCGGCCUGCGCGGAAGAUGUAACGGGGCUAAACCAU
rnacentral:rRNA from 2 species